rnacentral:rRNA from 1 species
UAUCGGAACGUACCCAAGAGUGGGGGAGUAACGUAGCGAAAGUUACGCUAAUACCGCAUACGAUCUAAGGAUGAAAGUGGGGGAUCGCAAGACCUCAUGCUCCUGGAGCGGCCGAUAUCUGAUUAGCUAGUUGGUGAGGUAAAGGCUCACCAAGGCGACGAUCAGUAGCUGGUCUGAGAGGACGACCAGCCACACUGGGACUGAGACACGGCCCAG